rnacentral:rRNA from 1 species
UACGUAGGGACCAAGCGUUGUUCGGAUUUACUGGGCGUAAAGGGCGCGUAGGCGGCAAUUCAAGUCAUCUGUGAAAUCUCCGGGCUUAACUCGGAACGGUCAGAUGAUACUGCUUUGCUAGAGUGCGGAAGGGGCAAUCGGAAUUCUUGGUGUAGCGGUGAAAUGCGUAGAUAUCAAGAGGAACACCUGAGGUGAAGACGGGUUGCUGGGCCGACACUGACGCUGAUAGCGCGAAAGCCAGGGGAGUAAACGGG